rnacentral:lncRNA from 1 species
AAAACGAUCAACAACAAAGAUCUAUGCAUGAACACGAAAUUUUUCAAAAAUUAAACAUGAACACGAUGAAACAAAUAAAUCCCAGCGAAAUACUCACAGAUUUUUGGGGGAAAACGAGUAGAUCUGGAAGAGGAAGGCACCAGGAAUUUUUAGAGAGAGAAAGAGCGAAAUUUGGAUUAGAUUAGAGUGAGAAAUAAAUCUCUGUAACCGGUUAUAUUGCCGCGGCUACAGUGAUUUGUACCGGUAUACGGGAUUUUGUACCGGUA